rnacentral:rRNA from 1 species
AGCGAACGCUGGCGGCAGGCUUAACACAUGCAAGUCGAGCGGGCACUUCGGUGUCAGCGGCAGACGGGUGAGUAACACGUGGGAACGUACCCUUUGGUUCGGAAUAACGCUGGGAAACUAGCGCUAAUACCGGAUACGCCCUUUUGGGGAAAGGCUUGCUGCCGAAGGAUCGGCCCGCGUCUGAUUAGCUAGUUGGUGGGGUAAUGGCCUACCAAGGCGACGAUCAGUAGCUGGUCUGAGAGGAUGAUCAGCCACACUGGGACUGAGACACGGCCCAGACCCCUCCGGGGGGCAGCAGGGGGGAAUUUUGGAAAAUGGGCGCAAGCCUGAUCCAGCCAUGCCGGGGGAGUUAUGAAGGCUUUAGGGUUGAAAAGCUCUUUUGUCCGGGACGAUAAUGGCGGUCCCGAAAGAAUAAGCCCCGGCUACUUGCUU